AUUGAACGCUGGCGGCAGGCCCAACACAUGCAAGUCGAACGGUAGCACAGAGAGCUUGCUCUCGGGUGACGAGUGGCGGACGGGUGAGUAACGUCUGGGAAACUGCCCGAUGGAGGGGGAUAACUACUGGAAACGGUAGCUAAUACCGCAUAACGUCGCAAGACCAAAGUGGGGGACCUUCGGGCCUCACACCAUCGGAUGUGCCCAGAUGGGAUUAGCUAGUAGGUGGGGUAAUGGCUCACCUAGGCGACGAUCCCUAGCUGGUCUGAGAGGAUGACCAGCCACACUGGAACUGAGACACGGUCCAGACUCCUACGGGAGGCAGCAGUGGGGAAUAUUGCACAAUGGGCGCAAGCCUGAUGCAGCCAUGCCGCGUGUAUGAAGAAGGCCUUCGGGUUGUAAAGUACUUUCAGCGGGGAGGAAGGCGGUGGAGUUAAUAACUUCACCGAUUGACGUUACCCGCAGAAGAAGCACCGGCUAACUCCGUGCCAGCCGCCGCAGUAAAAC
rnacentral:rRNA from 1 species